UCGGUGCUGUGCUCGGCCUGCAGGAGGAGGAGGAGGAGGAGGAGGAGGAGGAAGGUACUGCCCAGCUGUCACCCUGAGGGGCUCCACAACCGCCAUGGAGGCAGGCUGCUGAGGGCCGCCCUGAGGGGGAAUAAAAAGGAAAAAGGGAGACAAAAAGCCCUUCCUGGUGGGCAAAAAAGGAGACAAAAAGCCUUUCCUGGUGGCAUCGUGGCCUGUGCCGGGGCUAGUGUGAGGAAGCAGAGCCAGGAACAGGACGGUGAUUCUCCGCCGUGCUCAGCACGGGUGGGGCCGCGCCUCGAGUGCUGGGCCUGGCUCUGGGCCCCUGGAUUCGGGAGGGUGCUGGAAGAGAAAGGCGGCGGAGCUGGGCAAGAGUCUGGAGCACAAAUCCGGUGUCUGGGAAAGGCUCGAUCCCCUUUUCUCCCACAUUGCAUUUUCCUUUCAUAAUCCUCAAAGCAAAGUGAAAGAAAGCAGCACCUCGAAUAAACACGGAGUCCCCAGUUCCUGCCAGCAGUUCUGACUGAGGGGGGAAAGCUCCCAUUCAAGGUAGGAAACCAAAUACUUGCACAGAAGAAAUCACCAUUCCUUUGUGCUGAACUUAAUGCAGAAGCUACUAAGAAAACCUAAAAGCAGCAGAUAAAUCAGUUUGAUGAGCAAUUCAGUCGAACAAGUUUAACCACAUUAUAUGCAAUUUCACCUUGCCAGGGGGCACAGCAAGCAGGCACUACCACACAGCCAGCCAGGAUGCUUUCUCUCAUGUUUUCCCUGUGGAAAACCCAGAUUAGCUAGGAAUGCCUCGAGGGGAGCUCAUUCCAUGCAUGGGAAAGGCCAUUCCACGUGUGGACAGAGCACUGGGCACUUUAAAAAAGUGGGGUUUAUGCUCGUGGUACAGCAUUCCAGGAGUGUUUCCAAAAGGUGUUUAAGGCAGGAAAACUAACAAGGGGUUUGGCUCAUUCUUCUGGAGAUGCUCCGGGGGAAGGGUGAGCUACAUUUUAAUGAAGUCCCCUGUAGGAAAUGGAAAGAUAGAAACUUCCACAGACACCGAAGGGUUUGAUUUGCAGCCUUGGGAGAAGCUUGGAUGGAUGUAAAAAUAAAAGCACACAAACAGUAGGCAGAAAAAUUAUAAACUUAUGUUUCUAGAGUUGUAAGUAAGAAUAUGCCUUACAUAAGUAAGAAACUAUUGAGUAAGAUAGUGGAAGGUUUUAUAGUGUAGUAAUGUAAUUGUAUAGAGUAAGCUAAGAGUUUAGAAGUUAAAAUAGAAACAUGAGUGUGUGUACAUGUAGUAGUAACCCAGUGGAUAAAAAUGUACACAGUGCAGCAGAAUUAAGUAAAGGUAAUUGGUUAGAGAAACAAAAUAAACUUUGUAGCAACUUUCCUUUGGAUUAGAAAGUUCUAUAUUGCCUUGUGACUUCUCUGAGCUAUGGCCACUUCUCACUCCUCUGAAAUCUCACAGCCUCUGAGGCUGAUGUUUACCUGAGCAAUAAAUUGUUUUUAGCCCAACAGUAGUCCCAUCCCUUCUGUAAGGCAUCAAUUACACUCCCCUGCCUCUGCAAAGGUUUUGGCACUGCUCACCACACUGAGCAUUUGGGGCUGAAGACACUGCACAGGCCUGUGGGUUUCCAGGUUAAAUCCCUCCAAAGACAAGGCAGUGCUUCUGUAAGGUGUGAACUAAGCAAUUAAGGAUCACAAACAGCCAGGUCUAGACUCUCAACUCUGGCCAUAGAUGAGAGGACAGUGGAGAAGGAAGCAUAUCCAGCAAAGGAGGGGUGUUUGCUGAUUCCCAUGGGAACACUCCUGGGGCAGAUGGAGAUGCUCUGUGCCCCAACUCCCCACCCCUGAGCAUCAGUCAGCUGUGUUGGCUUUUAUUUCUUUGAACCAGUUGCUGUUCUUCAGCAUCAGAGGGGGUGCAAAGAACAUGACUCCCAUAAAAGCAAGAAAACCAGAAAGCAGAGGAACACAAGCCCCAAACUCAUGGCUUACAAUUAAGCCUCAUUAUUUGGAAGGUCUGGAUGAUGAUUUCUUUCCCAGCCUCUUAGUGAUUGCAAGGUUCAUUAAGCUGGGAACAAACCAAAUUCCUCCAAAUUUAGUUUACUACUUCCAAAAGCCAUGGGUUGCCUGAGCAAUCCUGCAAAGGACUUCCCACAUCUGCACAUACUUGAGGAAAAGAGGAAACUGCUCCCUGGAGACUCACCACCACAAAACCUAACCUCCAGCUCCUGUGUUGCACAGCAGAGCUACUCUGUGCUGCUUUCCAACCCAGGUCCAGCCUGCUGGCAUCCCUUGGCACUUGGCUUGCAAGUCCACUCACUCUGCUCUUCCCUUACCCACCAAAAGUGAAACACAAGUGCAAUCCAACUAAACUGAGCUCUUUCUUUUUCCCCUUCCUGUCCCAGAUAUUCACCACUGCACCUUCUUUCUCUCCAGUGUCAGAAAUACAACUGAUUUCACAUCUCUGCAAAGGAAAGCAAUAACAAUUCCAGUUUUCUAACUCAGCUUGCACCAGUUAAACAUUUUUUUCCAUUGAGGUGAGAACUGCUGGAUUAAGGAAGCAUUUUUUAGUAGUGCAUUGGUAGUGAGUCAUUAUUGCAGCUCAUAUACCUAUAAAUCAGACCAUACACACACAUGUUUAUAUGCAAACAGAAUUAUAUCAACAAACUCAAGGAACUGCCUUUCCUGACCAGACGGUGAAACCUUUGUUUCAUUUCAUAAAACAUCUCUUGACCCCAGCAAACUGAAAUGAGCAUAAGUGCAGAUUUCUUGUAUCUACUGAAUGUCCAGUGCUAGUGAACAAUGCUAAAAGAACUGCUGGAAAAAGGGCGAAAUAUAGAGUGCCAACUGGUUUAAAAUUUCAAAAGAGGCAAGUUUAAAGUAUUUUCAGUUGUUUGAUUCAAAUGUUCUUUUCAGAAGAAGCAGUUCAACACCAGUAAAAGAAUGGCUGCAUAACCAGCAACUCACUGAAGUGAUAAGGCAAUGAUUUAAACAAAGGAAAAUAUAACCUAAUUUAUUGUACUAUAUGGAGACAGUUUUCCUAAAUCUGCUUUCAGGUCCUCACAGAUGAUUGAGCUCAUUUGCCAGAGUUUAGCUCUAAGACACCCACUGUGUGGGAGGACUUUCAAAACCAAGGGCAGCCCUUCAGCCCUGCAAGAAGCAGUGUGCCUCAGCAGAGAGCUGGUGGCUGUGCACUGUCCCAGGCAGGUCUGAAUGGCAGGGGCCAAACCUUAAACUGUUGUUAAAGGGCACUGCUGUAAAAUGCCAUUUAAAGCAGUGCACCUGUGAAAAAUGUGUAUUUUAUGAUUGGCUUCUCACAAACAUUCAAAGGAAUAUUAUAUGUGUUAUCUAAGAAGGUUAUGCUGUAUUAAUUUCCUUAAGUAGUGUGUUAAAGAUAGUUUUAGGUUAUAACAAAAUGUUAAAAUAGAAACUAUGUUAUGUAGGAUACUUUUUUUAAAAGAAAGGACUUGCACCAGACAGCAGCCACAGGACACUUAAAUCUUUCAGAGAAAGGGAAUUUAUUGCUCCAUUAUCAGAAGAAAUGAACUUCUUCCUGCCUCACUCAGCUCUGAAGACUCAGUCAGGAUUCAGAGGAAGAAGCUGACACUGCCCAGACAGAAUCCUGUGUUUGAAUGGAAUUGAUGCAUCAUGGAUGAGGUGUAUGGAUAUGCAAGAGGCUGUUGCUUUUAAGGGUUAAUCCUCUGUUAACGUGGGGCCUUUUUCAGGCUUAUUUUGCCCAGAAAAGGUACCUGGACUGUCUGUAACUCUUUGUUUUUAUUGUCUCAUAUUGUCCUAAAUCCUAAUUGUCCAAGUUAUUAUUACUCGAAUUAUAUUGCUAUUUUUAUCACCAUUUUAUUACGAUUAAAAUUUUAAAAUUUAAAAAACAAGAAAUUGGCGUUUUUCACACACCUUUGCUGUGUGAGCAGCAACUCCAUAAUGAAGAGCUCAUCCCUUCAGCACAGGGAACAGAACCUGCCCCUCUUCUGUGGCUUUCCACCAACACCAGGCAAGGGGACACCUCCCAACCCAUCCUAAGAGGCCAGUUUCCACAAAAGAUACACAUUUCACCUUCACCCAGCAUUUGAUGCUAGCAAAAAUCAAUUUGUAUCACCAACACAGAGAUGCCAGCCAUAAUUACCAAGGCCUGGGGUUUGUGCUCCUUUUCCAGCAAGCCCCAAUGUAAGGUGCAGUCAAUAUUCCACAGUCACACCCCUCCAAGGCCAGUCAAUAUUGUCACCCCAGCAGGCCAAGGCUCUCCCCCCUUUAGCCCAACAGGGGUGUAGAGCAGGUACUCACCUGGCACAGUGGGGAGCAGCAGGAGCCAGGGACAUCCACAGCAUUGGGCUCCUCCUGGGUGGCCAUAGCAGGAGCACCACUUGUUAUGUCACGUGGCCAUCACAGGGCACUGCCAGCAAAAAAAAAAAAAAAAAAAAAAAAGAGGCAAAAUUGUAGGUUUUCACAGCUCCCUGCACAGCCUCAGGAUGUCUCUGAAAGCCACACACCCCACAGACUGCUCUGCUCUCUUAAAAACCCCUCCAGCAGCUGGGAUACAGCAGGUGCACACUCUAAAAUCAGCUAAAAUCACCCCAAGAGAGAGGAAAUUGGGGACAUGUGGGCUGUGGAGCACAGGUGUGACCCAGAAGAAUGGUGGGAACAGGGAACAUGUCAGCUGGGCACUGCCCUCACACAGCCCCAAGGUGCCCUGAGAUUCCUGCCACACACGGGGAAGGAGGGGCUUAGCAAGCAAAUGUGCAACAAAACACCUGAGUCCUGUUAACAGUUUGUUACUCUAAUUAAAAGAACCCACAAAGCCUUGGAAAAACCAAAAUAUUCACAUUAAAAAGCAGUACAGGAAGACAGUCAUAGAUGGUGGGCUUCCAGCUAAGCGUCAUCCAGGGGCAACCACAGACUCUGAGCUGCUUUGUGAUUAUCUUGUGAUGCUUUUUUCUUUUUUUGGUUAAAGUCCAGGCUGUCUUAACAGAGGCUGGAGGCAGAUGCAAACAGCACCACUGAGAAAAAUUUUGGCUUCUUCGACUUUACAGGCUGCUGUCAUGAAAUAUUUUGGAGUGGAAUCAGAAACCCAGGGAGGUCAGCCCCAGCCAGGUCCUUGGGCAUCCACGUGGUGCGUGUGGGGUUGCCCUCUCUCCCCACCCCAAAAUCUCUUCUCAAGCCACUCUGGCUCUCUCAGGGUUUUUGGGGUGGCAGUGGAACUGAAGGCUUUCUGUGAGGAAAAGAGGGAACUGGCCCAGGCUGAACUUUUCUGCUGCUGGAGUUCCAUGGGAAGGCAGUGGUGGCACAGGUAUCCAUCCUGGGGCAUACUGGUAUGGCACUUCUGCACUGAGGAAGGUGUUGCAUUAGUUUUGUCUUUGUUUCUCACCAUCCAAAUCCAUCUUAAUCAAUAUUCCCCAAGUGGAACCACUGUUUUCCAUGGUGAAGAUUGGUGACUCAUCUCCCAUCCUUAUAUCCACCCAUGAGCUUCUUCCUCUUAUUUUGUGCCCCUUCUCACUUAGGAAGAGACUGCAGGCAGGCUGGGUGGAUGUCAGGUAGCCACACCAGGUCAAAUAAAAAUCUAGAAGAGAUUCUGGAUCCCUAUCUUCAUUCUCAGAUUUUCAGACACAAAGAGAAAUGUAGAGGUGGAAUAAACAAAUUUCAAUGUACAACAACUCGUGUAGGUGUCAGAAAGCAAGUUCUCGUUUUAUUUGAAUAGGUUUCUCCACCCCCCUGACCCAUUCCUGGUAGGAAACCUGAGAGUCUGGCUUCACUGCAUAGCUACAAAAGAUGGGUGAUGGAUCUUUUUCUAAUAUAAAAAAUCAGCUUUUCUUGUCAUCUCAGUGCUUUAAAUGGGGAACCCAGCUCUACUGACUUCCUGGUGCUCUGCCCCCAGGUUUCAGCUGUGGUCCCAGUACUUGCUGCAGCAAGAGAUAACCCCACCCUGCUUGUCUCUCCCUUCCUUUCUUGAAGAAGACACAAUUUUUAGGAAAGCAGAAGUUUCCUCACAAGGGCCCCCUGUAGCUCAUCCCUGCUGGCUCCUCUGACAGCAGCAAGAGUCCACCAGUCCUGCCUGGGGCCCUGACCCAGCACUGCCAGACCCACGGGCAUCCCUGUGUGCCAGCAGGAUAUUUCAUUUGACAUGGAUACAAACAAAUGUUUUAAUCACAAGUUUUAUCUAUAACCUUGUUUUGAGCAGAUGACAGCAACAACAGCCUGUGCCUACCAGUCAACAUUCAGACCCAGAAAACACCCUCAGCUCUUUAAUCACCUGCCCAUUCAGGUUGCCAGCCUGGGUUUCAGGUGUGGCACAGGUGAGGAGCUCUCAGUACUGUGCAGGGUCAGCCCCUUCCCUCCCCUCCCAGCGCUGUCAUUGCACGUGGCUCCACCAUGCUCCCCUGGCUGCUGGGAUGAGCACCCUCCUUGCAGAGAUUUGUCAGCACCCCAAGUGCCCCCAGGGGACUGGUUCCUCACCCUGCAGCACUGCUCAUUCAGAACAGCAGCUCUGGCUUGGGCUCUUAAACUUUGACCAGAGCUGGGACAAAAAAUCCAAACGACUUCCAACAGCACAAGAGGAAUUUGCUUUAAAAACACCCCGAAUUUUUCACAUACCCUUGGCUUUAUCUGGAGAGCAGUCUGGAAAGUAAGACACAACCACCAGCACAGGAUCCUAAACAUAUUUGUUCAGGAUUUGUUUGUUGUUGAUCCAACCAGGAUCCUAAAUAUAUUUGAAAAGCAAAAGAGCCUCUCUGCAGCUGAAUGGCGGUGGUGCUUCGUGUGGAUCUGCUUUCCAAACACUUCCACAGCACCCCCUUCCAAUCACAACAUGCCACUUUGAAAUGCCAGCACCACUUAGCUCCUGAGCCUAUUAGACCAUGAAGCAAUGAACCCAGAGAAGCAAAAAUAACCCAGAUACCUACUUUAGCAGCCAGUUGAGUAGACAGGUGCUAUCCCGAGGGUUCCAUGGCAAAAGCAUCCUCAGAAAUGCCAUACCUUGACCUUUGCACAACAGGUGGCAUGAAGCUGCUCUCCAAAAGCCCUGGUGUCUUCCCAAAAGGUGCUAAUAUUAACUCUAGCCCUUUGUUCCUUUGCACUCAAGGUUUCUCCCCGUCAGCUUUCUGGCAUUUGCCAGCGUGGUGCACGCUUUACUGGGCAGAUAUUGAGCUGCAAAUUCCUUCACACUUCUCUGUCCACAGCAUUCUGCAGCUAAAGCUCUGGCCAGCCAGCAGAUGAAAAUGCCACUUACUGCUUAUUCCUGCUGCAGUUUGUUGAAUUAAAACCUCUUUGUUUGCAAGCCGUAAACAAAUUCUUCUUAAUCUUUCAAUAAAAAAUGUCAAUUAUGCUCCCUAACAAUGUAACUUCAUUGUGAUGAAAGAAGGCAUUGCUAUUGCUCUAAUCGUGAUAACAUAUCAGCUGCUUUUAGAGUCAAUUCCUUUUUGUGCAAAAUUUAAUGACCAUGCAAUUAUUCAAAUUUCAGACUAACAGACUGAGCUUUCGACCUACAGCUCUGAAAACCCUUUUUAGACCUUGCUCUGAAAACACACACUUGAAAGCAACAGAAAAGGGGCUGGAGCAGAAUUUCGGAGUUCAGAGCACAAAACACCUUUACAAUUCCUUCAGCACAGCCAGCCUUUGGCCCAUGUUAAACACAACUACUUCAUGGGAGAGCCAGGGGGAGGAAGCCAAAUUCUCAGCCAAAUUCCCAGCAGUUAUCACAGGCACUGCCCAGGCCCUCAGCUCUCACUGGGCUUCACUGAGAACCCUGUUCAUGCCCAGUUUCCUCGACUCUCUCUGGUCUCAGUGCAUUUCCUGCAGAAUCGCUGGCCACAGCAGAUGUGCCCUUCAGGCAUUUCAACUUUUUUUGUUGUUGUUGUUGUUUUUUUCUUUCUCUUGCCAGUAUUUAUGCCAUUUGUUUCCAGAAUCAGCUGCUGCUCCCAAAUCAGCAUCCGUAACGUUCCGCUUUGAAGUGCUCAGGUCGUGCCUGCUGGGAAAGAGCCUUCCUUGUUUGCCUGCUCACACCCUCCACACCUUCCCACCACCCAGCUUCUCCUCCUGCUGCUGAGAGCUCCCCUCUAGGCCCAGGUUGUCCCUCCCCAGCAGGUCUGCUCCAUUAACCCUUUCCAUCCCAACCCUUUAUUUGUGCUGCCCUGCAGACAGAGGUGCCCCAGGAGCUCAGCUCACACCACAGGAGAGCCCUGGGGGGAAUGCCUGGUGUGAGAAGUGCACAUCAUAUGGCUCUACACAGAUAUUUACUGUAGGUAUUAUGUUGUAUCGAUGAGUAGUGCUGUAUUAACAUUCUAAUUGCAUGGUAAAUGUAGUUUUGUAGUUAAAAGGUAACUUUUGUAGUUAAAAUAGGAACUAUGUAUGUGGGAUAUUUUUUUUUUUAAGAAAGGAAUGAGGUACUUGCACCAGAUAGCAGCCACAGGACACCCAAAUCUUCCAGAGAAAGGGAAUUUAUUGCUCCAUUAUCAGAAGAAAUUAACUUCUUCCCACCUUGCUCAGCUCUGAAGACUCAGUCAGGAUUCAGAGGCAGAAGUUGACACUGCCCAGACAGAAUCCUGGGUUUGAAUGGAAUUGAUGCAUCAUGGAUGAGGUGUAUGAGUAUGCAGCAGGCUGUUGCUUUUAAGGGUUAAUCCUCUGUUAACAUGGGGCCUUUUUUGGGCUUAUUUUGCCCAGAAAAGGUACCUGGACUGUCUGUAACUCUUUGUUCUUAUCGUCUCGUAUUGUCCUAAUCCUAAUUGUCCAAAUUAUUAUUACUCUAAUUAUCUUGCUGUUUUUAUCACCAUUUUAUUGUCAUUAAACUUUUAACAAUUUUAAAAACAACUGAUCAGCGUUUUUCACAGCUGGGCUAAGCUCAGCCCCACGGCUCUCAUCCCCUCCACACCUCCCUGCUCUCCAACUCUCCUGGCAGCCCAGAGCAGCCUUUUUUCAGCUCCCAGGAGGGGACAAGCCUGACACAAUGAGGACAGUGCUCUCCAAGGGCCUGGCAGGCAGCAGUCCCAGUGCCACACUGAACAGAUGGCCCAGCAUCCCUGGCCAAGCCAGCCCGAUGGGAACGGGGCUGCACAGAGAGCUGGACAUCCAAACAGCAAAUUGAACACAACAAAAGCAGCCCUCAGAAAAGCAAACUGAACCAAUAACACCGGUGGGGCUUGAGAACAGAACCCUGCUCUGAAAUGCCUGAGGCUGGGAGCUCCAUCUCACCUCCAAACCCAAACAAAAUGGACCAACCCCACUGCCUCCCCCCAUUAACAAUAAACCACUUGACUCAGUUAAUGCCCUUGAAUUAUCCUUUUAAUUACCAGCUCUUAAAGUUUCACACCUUGCACUGCUGUCAUUCCCUUUCUCCACUCUUAAGACUUACCUUAAGUGUUUCUGAUAUGAAAUAAUAAAUUUAUGGGGAAUCUUUAACUGUUGAUGUGCCAUACUCUUUACACAUCUCUCCCCUCUUCUCCAAACAGCCUUUCCCCUUUCCAGCAAAAGAAGAAAAUAAAAUAUAGAGGCAGUGAAACAGA